rnacentral:SRP_RNA from 2 species
CUUAGGGCAAUGGUGCUCUUGUAAAUCGUGUCAGAUCCGGAAGGAAGCAGCACUAAGCAAGGUGUGUCAUGUGCCUUUUGUUA